UCAACGGCAAGCACUUACACAAAACCAUACAAGUUGACCUCGAUAUGUUUGAGUUUUGUGAUGUGAAAGAUCAUGAAUACAUCACCAGAGACACGAAAUUUCAUUGCCCAUUAUAAGAAAUGAUGUUUAUUCGAGAAAUUAAACCAUAGAUGAACAGUUCUGAGCAAACUACAAUUUGGUGCCAAACUCUUUAUUUCGCCAUGUUUGUAUGAUUUGAUCGUUUAUUAUUUACUAGUUGCUUGCUAAUUAUAUUUAGUAGAUGUUAA